rnacentral:rRNA from 18 species
CUUCCGUAGGUGAACCUGCGGAGGGAUCAUUA